rnacentral:rRNA from 1 species
AUUGAACGCUGGCGGCAGGCCUAACACAUGCAAGUCGAACGAGUGGCGGACGGGUGAGUAAUGUCUGGGAAACUGCCUGAUGGAGGGGGAUAACUACUGGAAACGGUAGCUAAUACCGCAUACCAUCGGAUGUGCCCAGAUGGGAUGAGCGAGUAGGUGGGGUAAUGGCUCACCUAGGCGACGAUCCCUAGCUGGUCUGAGAGGAUGAACAGCCACACUGGAACGGAGAGACGGUCCAGACUCCUACGGGAGGAAGCAGUGGGGAAUAUUGCACAAUGGGCGCAAGCCUGAUGCGGCCAUGCCGCGUGUGUGAAGAAGGCCUUCGGGUUGUAAAGCACUUUCAGCGGGGAGGCGUUACCCGCAGAAGAAGCACCGGCUAACUCCGUGCCAGCCGCCGCGGUAAUUC